rnacentral:rRNA from 1 species
GAGUUUGAUCAUGGCUCAGGAUGAACGCUGGCGGCGUGCCUAAUACAUGCAAGUCGAGCGAACAGACGAGGAGCUUGCUCCUCUGACGUUAGCGGCGGACGGGUGAGUAACACGUGGAUAACCUACCUAUAAGACUGGGAUAACUUCGGGAAACCGGAGCUAAUACCGAAUAAUAUAUUGAACCGCAUGGUCCAAUAGUGAAAAACGGUUUUGCUGUCACUUAUAGAUGGAUCCGCGCCGCAUUAGCUAGUUGGUAGGGUAACGGCUUACCAAGGCGACGAUGCGUAGCCGACCUGAGAGGGUGAUCGGCCACACUGGAACUGAGACACGGUCCAGACUCCUACGGGAGGCAGCAGUAGGGAAUCUUCCGCAAUGGGCGAAAGCCUGACGGAGCAACGCCGCGUGAGUGAUGAAGGUCUUCGGAUCGUAAAACUCUGUUAUUAGGGAAGAACAAAUGUGUAAGUAACUACGCACGUCUUGACGGUACCUAAUCAGAAAGCCACGGCUAACUACGUGCCAGCCG